GAGAUUCCCCCAGUAGCGGCGAGCGAACGGGGAGCAGCCCAGAGCCUGAAUCAGUGUGUGUGUUAGUGGAAGCGUCUGGAAAGGCGCGCGAUACAGGGUGACAGCCCCGUACACAAAAAUGCACAUGCUGUGAGCUCGAUGAGUAGGGCGGGACACGUGGUAUCCUGUCUGAAUAUGGGGGGACCAUCCUCCAAGGCUAAAUACUCCUGACUGACCGAUAGUGAACCAGUACCGUGAGGGAAAGGCGAAAAGAACCCCGGCGAGGGGAGUGAAAAAGAACCUGAAACCGUGUACGUACAAGCAGUGGGAGCACGCUUAGGCGUGUGACUGCGUACCUUUUGUAUAAUGGGUCAGCGACUUAUAUUCUGUAGCAAGGUUAACCGAAUAGGGGAGCCGAAGGGAAACCGAGUCUUAACUGGGCGUUAAGUUGCAGGGUAUAGACCCGAAACCCGGUGAUCUAGCCAUGGGCAGGUUGAAGGUUGGGUAACACUAACUGGAGGACCGAACCGACUAAUGUUGAAAAAUUAGCGGAUGACUUGUGGCUGGGGGUGAAAGGCCAAUCAAACCGGGAGAUAGCUGGUUCUCCCCGAAAGCUAUUUAGGUAGCGCCUCGUGAAUUCAUCUCCGGGGGUAGAGCACUGUUUCGGCAAGGGGGUCAUCCCGACUUACCAACCCGAUGCAAACUGCGAAUACCGGAGAAUGUUAUCACGGGAGACACACGGCGGGUGCUAACGUCCGUCGUGAAGAGGGAAACAACCCAGACCGCCAGCUAAGGUCCCAAAGUCAUGGUUAAGUGGGAAACGAUGUGGGAAGGCCCAGACAGCCAGGAUGUUGGCUUAGAAGCAGCCAUCAUUUAAAGAAAGCGUAAUAGCUCACUGGUCGAGUCGGCCUGCGCGGAAGAUGUAACGGGGCUAAACCAUGCACCGAAGCUGCGGCAGCGACGCUGAUGCGUUGUUGGGUAGGGGAGCGUUCUGUAAGCCUGCGAAGGUGUGCUGUGAGGCAUGCUGGAGGUAUCAGAAGUGCGAAUGCUGACAUAAGUAACGAUAAAGCGGGUGAAAAGCCCGCUCGCCGGAAGACCAAGGGUUCCUGUCCAACGUUAAUCGGGGCAGGGUGAGUCGACCCCUAAGGCGAGGCCGAAAGGCGUAGUCGAUGGGAAACAGGUUAAUAUUCCUGUACUUGGUGUUACUGCGAAGGGGGGACGGAGAAGGCUAU
rnacentral:rRNA from 1 species